AACCUACUCCCUCCGUUCGGAAAUACUCGUCGGAGAAAUGCAUAAAAAUGAAUGUAUGUAGAACUAAAAUACAUCUAGAUACAUCCAUUCCUCCGACGAGUAUUUUCGGACGGAGGGAGUAGAUG
rnacentral:pre_miRNA from 1 species